rnacentral:rRNA from 1 species
GAUCUCAAAUCAAGUAAGACUACCCGCUGAACUUAAGCAUAUCAAUAAGCGGAGGAAAAGAAACUAACAAGGAUUCCCCUAGUAACGGCGAGUGAAGCGGGAUGAGCUCAAAUUUAAAAUCUGGCUGGUUUACUAGUCCGAAUUGUAGUUUAAAGAAGCGUUUUCGGUGGCAGCCCGGGUAUAAAUCCUUUGGAACAGGGUAUCAUAGAGGGUGAGAAUCCCGUCUUUGACUCAGUGCAUGCUACUAUGUGAUACGUUUUCAAAGAGUCGAGUUGUUUGGGAAUGCAGCUCAAAAUGGGUGGUAAAUUUCAUCUAAAGCUAAAUAUUGGCGAGAGACCGAUAGCGAACAAGUACCGUGAGGGAAAGAUGAAAAGAACUUUGAAAAGAGAGUUAAACAGUGCGUGAAAUUGUUGAAAGGGAAACGC